UUAUAUGAUUUUUAUGUUUGCCAAGACAUUCUGAGUCUCAUGCCUACGUACUAAUAAAGCUGCAAUGGAGGAUCAAAACCUCGUAGUUCGUGGUAAAAAUAACAAAGAUGUUAGUUUUCAUGAAAAUGAAUUUUUAAUUUUAAGGAGAAUACUCAACUAGUCACCCACAAAUAUGAGAACUUUACAUCACCACGAAGAAGGGGUCCAACUAGGAUAAAUUUUAACAAGUAUGCGACUAGCUCUCUUCGAUGGAAAAGAAUUAUCAUCAAUACUAUGGGGAUAUUUGAG
rnacentral:lncRNA from 1 species